rnacentral:lncRNA from 1 species
CCUCUCCGGGACCGCGGAGCUGCGGAGCGGAGACGCAGAUGGGCCUCAUCAGGACCUGGUGCCGCCACCCUGAGCCCUCCAGGUAACCUCCCGCCCCAGAGCCCUGGCCGACCAGCUUCCUCAGAGGCGUCAUGGCAACCGCAUCUGUUCACAGUCUCAGCGGCCCAGAGACGCGUCAGUAACGACUCAGACAAACAGGAUUCUGGGCGAUUCAAUGGUUUUCGAGAGAGGAGUGGAGGACUGUGAUUCUGUUCCUGGAUCCUGAGAAGCAACAAGGAAAUCUAGAGCUGAAACACCUCAGUGCAGCGGAUGUAGCGGACGUGGUGUUUCGGGAAAAGACUGGAGCAAAAACUGACACGUUGCUGUGUUUCUCAAUUGUCGCCCCACAGGAGGCGACGCGCUAACAUGUAGCCACAACCUGCUGCCACUACCUUUCUUCUAACAUUCAUACGUGGCCAUCUUUUAGAAGCCGAUAAGCUGAGUGAGGAGUUGUACGGCGCCAGCAGGCUGCCGUCGGCCCCACGCUUCCUAUUUUCAUCUCUAAUCUUUGAAUUCUGAGUAAUCAUCUUUUUAAUUAAUGGCGACGGUGGCGUGAAAUCUUCCCCGUCACCCCCAUCCCCACUCUCCUUCCCGCUGCCGCCAGACACCUGAAACCAAUUAGCAACAGCCGAUCGAGAUGGGGGAUUAGACACAGGAAGAACAGGAGAUUAGAUUCCGACACAGAGGAAAGUGAGAAAGAAAAGAGAGGAGGGAUCAAAAAAGUGGCAAGAAGAGGUCAGGAGGGGUUAAAGGGAAGCUGUCAGUCAGUCAGCUGAUCAAUAAGGAGGCGGGGAGGCCGAGGAUAUGAAGCGCAGAUAACAAGCGGCUAGGAGUCAGCAGGUGGAGGCCACGGCGGGAGCCCCGAGGCCUGACUGACAGGCUCCUCACAGCCUGCGACUCAUUGUCAUUCUCUGCAGUGAGCGAGCGCACAGAGAGGAGCUGCUGGACGCCGGCCAUCUUCAGGCCAAUUAAGGG